GAUGAACGCUAGCGGAAGGCUUAAUACAUGCAAGUCGAGCGGUAUAGUGACUUCGGUUGCUAGAGAGCGGCGCACGGGUGAGUAACGCGUACAUGACCUACCUCUAAGAUCGGGAUAGCCCUGGGAAACUGGGAUUAAUACCGGAUGUGAUAAUAAGUAUAAGGAUUUAUUAUUAAAGUUGAGGCGCUUAGAGAUGGGUGUGCGUCUGAUUAGCUAGUUGGUAGGGUAAGGGCCUACCAAGGCGACGAUCAGUAGGGGGCGUGAGAGCGUGAUCCCCCACACGGGUACUGAGACACGGACCCGACUCCUACGGGAGCAGCAGUAGGGAAUAUUGGUUAAUGGACGGAAGUCUGAACCAGCCAUUCCGCGUGCAGGAAGAAGGUCCUAUGGACUGUAAACUGCUUUUAGCAGAGAAGAAACGCCUUCAUUUAUGAGGGUCUGACGGUAUCUGCGGAAUAAGCACCGGCUAACUCCGUGCCAGCAGCCGCGGUAAAUGACGUC
rnacentral:rRNA from 1 species